ACUAUCACACUGGGGACCGGCUUCUCUGCUCUCCCUUUAUAGGGGUCGGGGGAAUGAAGGGGCAAGGGUCUUCCGAAGAAAGCGAGAAAGGAACAGGCGCCUUCAAAAGCCCACUUGGCAUGGGUUACAGUAAGAGUUUCAGAGUGCUGGCCACACCAAAGCAUCAACCCCGGCUCUAAACCCCAUUACACUAAGGAAUUACAAAUCCUGUGUUUGUCCUCCAGGAAGUCUGCAUUAUCACGAGGAGCUUGGAAAGGAGGUAACACACUCAAGGCAAAUUUCAAGUAACUCAUCCUAGAGGCAGCUGCCUACUCUGCAGCUGUGGUUCUCCACCACAGAGAGAAGAAAAGGGAGGGAGAUGGAGUGUGCAGGUCUGAGAAGGCUUUCAUUCUGGAGCAUCUGCAGGAGCCUGCACCAUGGCCCAGUAGCACCCCUUUUUCUCCAUGAGCUGCUGGUGGGUUCCCCCCUCCCGGAUAGCGCCUCCUUCCAGAAAGAGGAUGUGGUCAGCCUGCUCCACCAGGCUGAGGUGCUGGGUGAUGAGAAGCACUGAGCGGGAGUACCGCUCAGGGCUUUGGUACAGGAGCUGCUCCACCUGAGGAAAGAUAUCGGACCGUCAGAGCUGGGGACUACCCUCAGCCCAGGGAGACACCUGUGUUUCCAGGGCUGGGACUGACCUCACAGGAUCACUGCUGGCUCUGCUAACAACCCCAAGGACACCAACGUUUCCCAUUCUGAGUACUUCUCCGCAAACCCUUUGUUUCAUUAAGGACUGUUUUACAUGAAGGUGCAAAAGUAGGAUAAAAAUGAGAGUCCUAGGGUGAAACACGUGACAGAAGAAUAAAGACUAUUGAAUAGUCCUCUUCUCUACCCAUGGACUUGGAAUU
rnacentral:lncRNA from 1 species